CCAGCUGGCCGGAUGGCCGCCGCCUUUGCGCGGAGGAAAGUCCGGGCUCCACGGAGACACGGUGCCGGAUAACAUCCGGCGGGGGCAACCCCAGGGAAAGUGCCACAGAAAGCAAACCGCCGCAAGGUAAGGGUGAAAGGGUGCGGUAAGAGCGCACCGCGCCCAUGGUAACAUGAGCGGCACGGCAAGCCCCACCGGGAGCAAGACCGAAUAGGGCAACGCAAGGCUUUCUCUCCAGGGAGAAGCCUGAGAUCCGUCUCCGGAUCGUUGCCGGGUUGGUUGCUCGAGCCGGAGGGUAACUUCCGGCCCAGAGGAAUGGCCAUCACGCGCGAGUCGCGCCCCACAGAACCCGGCUUAUAGGCCGGCUGGCACU
rnacentral:RNase_P_RNA from 1 species